rnacentral:tRNA from 1 species
GCCGGUGUGCUGGAACUGGCAGACGGGGCGGACUCAAAAUCCGUUGCCAGCAAUGGCGUGUGGGUUCAAGUCCCACCACCGGCACCA